rnacentral:rRNA from 1 species
CGGGCAGGUGGUCCGUUAAGUCGUCUGUGAAAACCCGGGGCUCAACCCCGCGGAAUGCAGGCGAUACUGGCGGACUAGAGAUCGGUAGAGGCUAGCGGAAUUCCUGGUGUAGCGGUGGAAUGCGUAGAUAUCAGGAAGAACACCCGUGGCGAAGGCGGCUAGCUGGGCCGAGUCUGACACUCAUCCGCGAAAGCGUGGGGAGCAAACA